GACAUCCCAGGACAACUAAUCUAGAUGUGUUGACCUCAUGCAUCAGACAAGUUGGUGGCUUAGAGCGUCAUUCGUUUCAGCAAAACAUUCUCCAACGAAUUCCGUUUCAGCAACAACGUCAUAGAAUUUGAUGCUUCUGUUUUCUGACUUUCCUCUUAUCUUACAAACCCGGCGUAUAAAUACAGCAGCCGCAAAUUCAUUUUGCCAUAAUUCGGUUACUGACUUACAUCGUCACUAAAGAGUAAAAGUAAAGAAAACACAGAAAAACUGAAAAAAGUAAGACACAAAGAGGCAUCAUGAAAUAUUUUUAUAUCAUUUCAUUGAUCUUUGUCAUUUCCGUGACCAACAUCUCAGUUGAAGGUGGUGUAACUUUCGACAAUUGCAGAGCUUUGAUGACUCAGUGCGCUUUGAGCAGCCGGGGUGAUGCCUGUGGUUAUUGGCAUUGUGCAUUGGAUGUGGCAGGAAAUAUUGUACAAUGUCCACGAAAUUCUCCCUAUCGAACCAAACUCGGUAGUAUCUUGAAAAAAUUGUCAAAAGCUUGUCUAACAAGUAAACUCCUGAAGCAAUGGAGCGGAUGAAAGAUACUGAUGUUUGGGAAGAGAUAUUCAAAGUUCCAACAGAUAUACAUCAUAUAUAUAAUGCGUUUUUAAAAUUGUUUACAAAUAAAUAUUACUUAACUAAACUCAAAUCUGACUGAGGAUAUUCCUAAAGCUGCAUGUCUAUAUAUAGGUGAUAGUACCGAUGAAGUCUUGUUUCUAUCUUUGUAAUACCAAGAAGUAUCCUUGUCGAACAGUUUGGGGUACUUCAAUUUAAUACGACACCGCAGAAAUUGGUGU